rnacentral:rRNA from 1 species
UACGAAGGGGGCUAGCGUUGUUCGGAAUUAUUGGGCGUAAAGCGCAUGUAGGCGGCAGCGCAAGUCGGGCGUGAAAUCCCACGGCUCAACCGUGGAAGUGCACUCGAAACUGCGCAGCUAGAGUCCUGGAGAGGAAGGUGGAAUGCUUGGUGUAGAGGUGAAAUUCGUAGAUAUCAAGCGGAACACCGGUGGCGAAGGCGGCCUUCUGGGACAGUGACUGACGCUGAGAUGCGAAAGCGUGGGGAGCAAACAGGG